AUUACUCAUGAUGUAUGUGGCACUAAUGAAGUUAAAAUCAAAACAGUGGAAAAUUGCAACAAAUUAAAACGUAAAAGAAAUUCAAAAGCGGAAUAGUGUGCAAUUAAAACAACAAAAACAAUCGGAAUGGCUGACAAGCAAAAUGCAAAGCGGAAUGAGAGAAGAAAAAACAAACUUAAUUUGAAGGUAAGAAUUAAGUUUGUGUUAUGGCACGAUAGCAGCAACAGAACAGAUCACCACAGCAAUUUAGCAAAUUAGUUUUGAAGCAAUUUAACAAAACAACCGACACUUUAUAUCCUGGGUUUCGCACCAAAAUGUUCCAAUUUAAUUUAAGGGAAGUAUCAAAACAAAUACGGACACAGUUAUCUUCAAUUUUUUAUUAAUUUUUAUUUAGUUUUAUGGAUUUUUGGUCUGGUAAGGAAGUCGAAGACGAUGCGG